rnacentral:rRNA from 1 species
AAACCAGCACCUCAAGUGGUCAGGAUGAUUAUUGGGCCUAAAGCAUCCGUAGCCGGCUCUGUAAGUUUUCGGUUAAAUCUGUACGCUUAACGUACAGGCUGCCGGGAAUACUGCAGAGCUAGGGAGUGGGAGAGGUAGACGGUACUCGGGAGGAAGUGGUAAAAUGCUUUGAUCUCUCGAUGACCACCUGUGGCGAAGGCGGUCUACCAGAACACGUCCGACGGUGAGGGAUGAAAGCUGAGGGAGCAAACAGGAUUAGAAACCCUAGUAGUCC